AUGGGAAAGUUUAAACUCUUUUGAUAAGGUGACAUUUUAUUCUAAACUUACGAAGGGACAGCCGCACUGACCGAUCCGGCUAACCCGCAUGAUGAAAGAUUAAACCUUUAUAUAGAAGAAAAUACAUAUCACAACUAUCAAAAUGGGUCAUAACAAGAACUUUUUGCACUACAACUAAAGCUAGUACUGUUGGUAAUUGUUUAUUAACAAGAUCGGAAACGGAUGUCGUUGGACUAUCGAUCACAAUAUGGUGUGAAGGAUAUGAACAGAGUGAAUAUAGAAUUGAAUGUCUUUUCUGACAGAAAGGGAUUUACAAAUAUAUAGAUAUGCAAGUAACAUUUCUGGAGAAGUUGUGUUCUUCAGGAGAAGUUAUACCUUUUCAAGUUGGAAUAUAACUGUUCAUAUCAUUUAAUUAAUUAAUUAAUUAUAUUAUAUUAUAUUAUAUAAUUUUCUUUAUUAAUUAAUUAACUUAUUUCACUACAAUCAUAUGUAUAUUAGUACACCAAUGUUAUGGUAUACUUUCACAUAUGAUUACACAUAUUGUGAAAACCAUGUUAUCAUAAUCAUAUUCCAACAUCUCCCACUUGAUUAUGAUGACAUAAAUGGUUUCCUAUUCUGAUUUGUUUCUCAAGAGUAUUACUCAUAAACAAAUUGAAUGUAACAUCAGAUAUGUGGUUUCUUUACCUGGUGCGCAUCAUUCCACUUAAUCUGAUAACAUUUUACUCUUUAGUAAAAUGGCAUCAUAUCCAAGUAACUAGGAAAAACAAUCCAUACCCAGUUACAAAUGAUGACUUAGCCCUGCACUAUACGCCACUGUGUUAUAUAAAUUAUUUCUUGAAGCUUAUUACGGAUUUUACUUUCAAGACGAUUUAUUAUAACCUGGGUACCUCGCUA
rnacentral:lncRNA from 1 species